UACGGGGGGGGCAAGCGUUGUUCGGAAUUACUGGGCGUAAAGGGCUUGUAGGCGGCCAACUAAGUCCGACGUGAAAUCCCCAGGCUUAACCUGGGAACUGCGUCGGAUACUGGAUGGCUUGAAUUCGGGAGAGGGAUGCAGAAUUCCAGGUGUAGCGGUGAAAUGCGUAGAUAUCUGGAGGAACACCGGUGGCGAAGGCGACAUCCUGGACCGGUAUUGACGCUGAGGCGCGAAAGCCAGGGGAGCAAACGGG
rnacentral:rRNA from 1 species